CCUCCUCUUAAAGGGGCAGCACGGCCCCGCCGCCUCUCCGCUCAGUGUCUGAAUGGGACUGUAGCGCGAGCGCGGGCGACUGCCUUCCUUCCGCCCUUCCCUCAGGGAGAGGGAAGCUGGGUCCCGCUCCCUCGGCCUGGUGUUACCGACUUUCCGCCCCGCCCCCGCCCCCAUCAGGUGCGGCCUAGCGCUGCCCCUGGAGAGCCUCAGAAAGCGGCAGCGGGCGGCCGCUUCCCGCCGCGACCCUGAGGGCGGCCUGCGGGGACGACGCGGCGGGCGCGGCUCUCGGGCAUGCUUGGCGGCGGCGGCGGCGGCGGUGUGCCCGCCGGGCCGGCGCCGCGCUCGGGCCCCGACCUCCUCCCACCGCGGCCUUCAGGCUCCUGGCGCACCGGGGGCCGAUCGCGGAGGUAGGCGGUGGCGCCCCCGCGGCCUCCUGCGUCUCUUUCUGCCUUAGGCCGCCCGCCUUUGGGAUCUUCCCUCUCGGCUUCGUCCCGCGCCCGGCCUUGCGGGGGGUCUCCCGCCGCCCCAGGACCUGCAGACUGCCCUCAUUUUUUCCAUUCUGCUGGAGAAAACACAAGAUUGUGUUCUUCAUUACCUACCUGCAGCUGAGGUCAUGUCGGAUUUUAGAGCAUGUACUGUGUUUGUGAUGGCCAUCUCUUAACUAUCAGAAUGGAACAAAACAUUGGAGGUUAUUUUAAUGAGAACAGUCUUCUCCAGGAAGUCUGUGAUGACCAAAAAGCUAGGAAAUGGUAACCCACUCCAGUAUUCUUGCCUGGAGAAUCCCAUGGACGGAGGAUACUGGCGGGCUACAGUCCAUGGGGUCGCAAAGAGUUGGACGUGACUGAGCAACUAACACUUACUUCCUUACCUUCCCCACAAUGUCUUGCUUGGUGAUAAGGCACAACUCUUCAUCGUAACCCAAUGAUGUUGGCAAAGUGAGAUUGUUAACGCUGUUCAGCAGCCACUCCCCAGUGGAUUUAAUCCGCAGACAUCUGGUGGCAAAGGUGUCCACAGCAUGGACAGCAAAGAGCCGCUUCAGCUGGGAGCAGUAGCAGCUUGACAUCCAGGAGGAAGGAAAACAAGAGGGCAUAAUCAUUUGAGAUGUUGUUGGAGGAAAAGACUCUGAGAAUGGGAAGAGGGUGUUCUCCACCACCUGGGUAGCUGGGUGGCUGUAAUGACCAUCCUCUCUCAGUGUGGGCCCUGGGAAGAACUCACUGGGUAUCACAAUAGCUAAUUUUUCUUUAAGUCGACCUACAGGUCAUCUGUACCAGCACACCUUCCCCUUUCAGUGGUUAAAACAUCCCUCUGGAGAAUGACCCCUUGAGGCCCUGAGAACUUUAUUGUACUAUCCCCAACCCCCACCUCCCCUCACACCUCUCUCCCCUCUAGCCUCAUGGUCUCAGUUCAGAUGUCAAUCAACAUUCCCAGCUCAAGACCACCUCUUUAGUUGGUCUGAGAGCUAUUGCCAGCUUUGGAAACUCAGAAGUAACUCCCCUUUGUUCUGGUCCCGCAGCUCUAAACUCUAAAGUGAGGGCUUGGGAAUCUUCUAACUUGAUGAGAAUAUUUGAGGACCUGUCUGAUCAGUGUACUUUGUACCAUAAACUCAAGUAAAUAAAAAACAAGUCAAUCAACAAAAUACAAAUAUUUUCUACCACUAAAUUGCUAAGGCAAUUCAAAAGAAUAUGCUUCUGGAACAAAAGGCCAUUCCAAACGAGGUGCCCUAAAAAUGUUUUGAAAGUAGUAGUAUAAUGGAAUAAAGAUGCUCUUUUCAAAUAAAAUUUUUCUUUGAAAUACACAAAAUCA
ensembl:lncRNA